UCUCUCUCUCUCUCUCUCUCUCUCUCUCUCUCUCUCUCUCUCUCGAUUCCCUGGCCCCCUGCUGCUGCUUCUUUUCUGAUCCCAGUGUUCUGUGCUUUCUUGUGCUCACGUGAUUGGAUCUCAUGAACCCAUCUACACAACCCAAGAGCCUCAAGUAGUUGAGGGCCUGCUACCUUCAUCACAUUUGCAAAGUCACUUUUGUGACACUGUGCAAUCUAGUUAGCAGACCCAGAGGAUUGGGGCCCAGACAUCCCUGAGGAGCUUUUCACUUGCCUGCUGUGGAUGGCCGGAUUACAUCCGCUGAGUCAUGAAGAAGGGCUCUUUGGGAAAGGGAGGGGAACAUAGAAAACCGUGGAGUGAGAAGCCGUCCCUGAGAGGCAAAGAGAACAAUCAGCCUUCCUCCAAACAAUGAGCUGUGCAUGCAAGCCCUUGGACAGAGAAAGACUUCAAGGAGACGUGGGCAGCUUCGGACGACAGAGACACUGGGGUCAGUUCUGCAUGGGGAUUGCUGUCAUAACGUUUCACACGCUUGCGCUCCCUCUUCCCACGAGCUGUUACAGCAUCGAGCCGGACACCUCCCACAAGUAACUUUCAUUUGCUAACCCUCAUGCCUCCCGCAAAGCGCUAGUCUAUCACAUGAAUGAGAUGGAGACCCGCGAUGUGGACAUUCCUUCAGAGAGGAAACCUGUUAACCCCGGGAUGCUUUGUAAGAUGCCUUUAAAACUUGGCAGUGUAUCUCCCUAGCUUUCCAUGCCUAUUUAUACGCUUCCUCAAUGUUAUUUUUAAUGGGGUCAGCACACAGAAGUUGGGUUCCUGAGGAGGCCAAGGAGGCCGCUCUUGCUGUCAGCUGAACUUCAUGACGUGUAAUGGUCACCCAGGUGGUGCUAGUUUUGAAAGCAUGAAGGGAUCAUGGAGAGCAGGCUUGGCACUAUGGGGCAGGGCUGGAGUCCCUGAAGGGAGCCUGUGAGAGGCUAUUGGUAAAAGUGCAGCCCAGUUGCCACAGAGACCCCAGCAUUUUGAAGAUGCCAGUGUCAUGGGAUGACCACCAAGAACAGCAGCAGUAUACAUAAAGUAAAAAUAAAUCAUUUUUAAAAAGAA